CACCGGUCUUUAAGAACUCCAAUGCUUUAUUUAGUUCAAGUUAAAAUAAGAAACAUAAGUUUCUUAUUUUAACUUGAACUAAAUAAAGCAUUGGAGUUCUUAAAGACCGGUG